UACGGAGGGCGCGAGCGUUAAUCGGAAUUACUGGGCGUAAAGCGCGCGUAGGCUGUUGUGUAAGUUGGGGGUGAAAUCCCACGGCUCAACCGUGGAACAGCCCUUGAUACUGCGCGACUUGAAUCCGGGAGAGGGUGGCGGAAUUCCAGGUGUAGGAGUGAAAUCCGUAGAUAUCUGGAGGAACAUCAGUGGCGAAGGCGGCCACCUGGACCGGUAUUGACGCUGGGGCGCGAAAGCGUGGGGAGCAAACAGG
rnacentral:rRNA from 1 species